UAGGAAGCCUUUUAUUAUACUGUUUAACAGGAUUUGAGAGACUGCACAUUCUUCCUUUAUUCCUGAGUUAGGGGCAAAGCAUUCCAUUUAUUAUCAAUAAGUAUGUAUGUUAGGUGAAGGAUUGUUUUUUUUGUAGAUUUCUUUUAUCAGCUUAAAGAGGGUC